rnacentral:lncRNA from 1 species
AUUGGACUAAGGUUUUAGCUCCAUGGUAGAGCACUUACCUAGCAUGUGUGAGGCACUGGGUUCAAUUCUCAGCAUCACAUAUAAAUAAAUUAAUAAAUAAAAUAAAGAUCCACUGACAAUUUAAAAAAUAUUUCUUAAAAGUCUGCCAAUCAAGAAAAGUCCAGGACCAGACGAAUUCUCAGCCAAGUUCUAAAAGAUCUUUAAAGGAGAAUUAACAUCCAUAAUCCUCAAAGUAUUUCAUAAAACAGAAAACUCAUUCUGAGGCUGAUAUCAUCCUGAUAACAAAACAAGACAAAGACACAUCAAGGAAAGAAAACUUCAGACCAAUAUCCAUGAUGAACAAACGUGCAAAAAUUCUCAAUAAAAUUCUGACAAAUUGAAUAAAAAUAUUUAAAAAGUGCAUUAUGAUCAAGUGGAGUUCAUCCCAGGGAUGCAAGGUUGGUUCAUCAUACAUAAAUCAAUAAAUUUAAUUUGUCACAUCAGUAGACCUAAAAACAGUGAUCAUCUCAAUAGAUGCACAAAAAGCAUUUGACAAAAUACAGCACCACUUCAUGUUCAAAAUACUAGAAAAACUAGAAAUAGUAGAAACAUACCUCAAUUUUGCAACAGCUAUUUAUACUAAGCCCAAGGCCAACAUCAUUCUAAAUGGAGAAAAAUUGAAAGCAUUCUCUCUAAAAACUGGAAUAAGACAAGGAUGCCCUCAUUCACCACUUCUAUUCAACAUAGUCCUUGAAACUCUAGCCAGAGCAUUUAGACAGGAGAAAGAAAUUAAAGGAUAUGAAUAGUAAAAG